GAUGAGAACGCAGCGAAAUGCGAUAAGUAAUGUGAAUUGCAGAAUUCAGUGAAUCAUCGAAUCUUUGAACGCACCUUGCGCCCUUUGGCCAUUCCGAAGGGCAUGCCUGUUUGAGUAUCAUGAACACCUCAACUCUCAUGGCUCGCCAUGAUGAGCUUGGAUUUGGGGGUCUUGCUGGCCUGUGGUCGGCUCCUCUCAAAUGGAUCAGCUUGCCAGUGUUUGGUGGCAUCACAGGUGUGAUAACUAUCUGCGCUUGUGGUUUUCCAUCAGAUAACCUUCAGUGAUGGAGGUUCGCUGGAGCUCAUAAACGUCUCCCCUAAGCGGGGACAGCCCUUUGAAUGUUUGAUCUCAAAGCAGGUAGGACUACCCGCUGAACUUAAGCAUAUCAAUAAGCGGAGGA
rnacentral:misc_RNA from 1 species